rfam:Oryza nivara chromosome 6, whole genome shotgun sequence.
GAUUUCAACUAAAAAAGUCAUGAACAAUAAAGUUGUAUAACUCAUCAAGAUCUGUAACUUUUAUUUUUGUAAUUUCUUCAUCCGAUAAAGUGUUGGUAACAUUGUUCAUAAAAUUUACAUAUAUGUGUUAUAGUUUAUAAAACUAGAUGAAAGAUAUGUGAAUUUUGUUAACAAUAUUACUAUCACUUUGUUGGAUGAAGAAAUGACCAAAAUGAAAGUUAUAGGUCUUGAUGAGUUAUACAACUUUGUUGUUGAUGGCUUUUUCUGUUCAAAUC